rnacentral:rRNA from 1 species
UACGUAGGUGGCAAGCGUUGUCCGGAAUUACUGGGUGUAAAGGGAGCGUAGGCGGGAUCGCAAGUUGAAUGUUUAAACUAUCGGCUCAACCGGUAGUCGCGUUCAAAACUGCGGUUCUUGAGUGAAGUAGAGGCAGGCGGAAUUCCUAGUGUAGCGGUGAAAUGCGUAGAUAUUAGGAGGAACACCAGUGGCGAAGGCGGCCUGCUGGGCUUUAACUGACGCUGAGGCUCGAAAGCGUGGGGAGCAAACAGG